GACGCUCCUUUGGAUUACACGGCUCUCGAUCUCGGCACUGUCCUUUGACCAACGGCUCAAGUCUGUCCCACAUCGUCAGGUGAAAAUUCUGGUUUUGAUUCUUGCUCUCCCUCGGAUUCUGUCUUCACCUCACGGACCAAUUAACCCAGCAACGCACAGCAGCGACGACGUCACUCAGCUUCGGACUGUCAACAGCGCUUCUGUAUGGAACACUCUUACGAACACCAGAGCUACCAGUCCCUCCUGACGUCCAGAUCCAGAACCUCACCACUACCUUGUACUUUCAAAAUAAAACCUGUAAAACUG